AUUGAACGCUGGCGGCAUGCUUUACACAUGCAAGUCGAACGGUAACAGGCCGCAAGGUGCUGACGAGUGGCGCACGGGUGAGUAAUGCAUCGGAACGUGCCCAGUCGUGGGGGAUAACUACUCGAAAGAGUAGCUAAUACCGCAUACGAUCUAUGGAUGAAAGCGGGGGACCGUAAGGCCUCGCGCGAUUGGAGCAGCCGAUGUCAGAUUAGGUAGUUGGUGGGGUAAAGGCUCACCAAGCCAACGAUCUGUAGCUGGUCUGAGAGGACGACCAGCCACACUGGGACUGAGACACGGCCCAGACUCCUACGGGAGGCAGCAGUGGGGAAUUUUGGACAAUGGGCGCAAGCCUGAUCCAGCAAUGCCGCGUGAAGGAAGAAGGCCUUCGGGUUGUAAACUGCUUUUGUACGGAACGAAACGGCUCUGGUUAAUACCCGGGGCUAAUGACGGUACCGUAAGAAUAAGCACCGGCUAACUACGUG
rnacentral:rRNA from 1 species